UACGGAGGAUCCAAGCGUUAUCCGGAAUCAUUGGGUUUAAAGGGUCCGUAGGCGGUUUAAUAAGUCAGUGGUGAAAGCCCAUCGCUCAACGGUGGAAACGGCCAUUGAUACUGUUAGACUUGAAUUAUUAGGAAGUAACUAGAAUAUGUAGUGUAGCGGUGAAAUGCUUAGAGAUUACAUGGAAUACCAAUUGCGUAACGGC
rnacentral:rRNA from 1 species